ensembl:lncRNA
GUUGAGGUCAUGAUUAAGUAAAAAUAGAGUAAAAGAAAAAAGAAAAUUACAAAGUCCCCAGCGGAGGUCGGAGGUGAGUCUGCAGAAACACUCCUGAAAUGUCAUUAAUACCCAACAGGAGCGGAGACAUUGAUAUUCCUGCCACUCGGCACAAGAGCGUGAGCGAGAGAGAGACCGACAGGCCGGCGGAGCCGACUUUAACCUCCGCGGAGGAGUGGAGUCACUCAUCAGCCGGGGAAAACAUUUGCUUGGAAAAUAAAAUGUUCCUUGAGCCUUGAGGGAUUGUGGCCACAUGCUUAUUGACGGGGGCCACGUCUCCGUGUCCUUAAAAGGGGGGGGGACCGUGUCCCCCUGUCCCCAUUCAUUCCCGCUGAUUUGAGGGCACUUUUGUCUGGGAGAUGACUCUCAUCUGGACAAUCUAACUGUAGAUUACCGCGAUAUGGAACCAUAUGAUUCCCCGAGCAGGAUUGCUUAUUCAUUGUUGACUUCCUACUCGCGACUCAGAAAAAUAACACAUUCACAGAAAUUGCUUUUUCUGUGGACUCUGAGGCUCACAGCAGAGCAGUGAGGUCUGGGACACAAAUCAUGUCGGUAAUAACCUGCUCGAGCACCAGAAAACAUCACUGCCAAUCUCCUCAGGAAAGAAAAAAAAAAAGCCAUAAAAAGAUGGGAGAUGAUGUGGACAAAGAAUGAGACACAGUUAGAGGUGCUGACUUUCAAUCUGAGCGAGAGUCAGGCAUGGGUCAACGGGUCGGCGCUGGAAAGGUGACACCUCGCCCCCCUGGCGCCCAUCAAAGCGGUGAUUUGGCCACGCGGGGGUCUCGCUCUCUCUCUGUCUCUCUCUCGGAGUAGUAACCACAGCCAGACCCAUUUUGAGAGGUCUUAUGACACAAAAAAUCAAGGAGUACACACACACACAGAUCACAUUCUCUCUCUGUCUCGGAGUAGUAACCACAGCCAGGACCCAUUCGAGGGGCAGCACUUAUCUUGGGUCACACUUGCUCUUAUGAGACACAAAUCAACAACUAGCCAGCGCCAUG